UACGUAGGGGGCAAGCGUUACCCGGAUUCACUGGGCGUAAAGCGGGUGUAGGCGGCUCGGUAAGUCGGGUGUGAAAUUCCACGGCUCAACCGUGGAAUUGCGCCCGAAACUGCUGAGCUUGGGGCCGGUAGAGGGAGACGGAACUGACGGUGUAGGGGUGAAAUCCGUAGAUAUCGGCAGGAACGCCGGUGGGGAAGCCGGUCUCCUGGGCCGCGCCCGACGCUGAGGCGCGAAAGCUAGGGGAGCAAACCGG
rnacentral:rRNA from 1 species